rnacentral:rRNA from 1 species
UUCCGGUUGAUCCUGCCGAAGGCUACUGCUAUUGGAGUUCGAUUAAGCCAUGCGAGUCUAAGGGAUCUUCGGAUCCCUGGCGUAAUGCUCAGUAACACGUGGAUAAUCUACCCUCAGGUGGGGCAUAAACCCGGGAAACUGGGGCCAAUUCCCCAUAAAUACAGAUGGCUGGAAUGCUUCUGUAUUCAAAGCUCCGGCGCCUGAGGAUGAGUCUGCGGCCUAUCAGGUUGUAGUCAGGGUCAAGACCUGACUAGCCAGCGACGGGUAUGGGGUGUGAGAGCACUUGCCCAGAGAUGGUUUCUGAGACACGAAACCAGGCCCUACGGGGCGCAGCAGGCGCGAAAACUUCGCAAUGCGGGAAACCGUGACGAGGGAACUCCGAGUGUCUAUGCAUUGCAUAGACUGUUUUUUAGCCUAAAUAGCUAUUAGAGUAAGGGGUGGGCAAGACCGGUGCCAGCCGCCGCGGUAACACCGGCACCCCGAGUGGUAGCCACUAUUAUUGGGCCUAAAGCGUUCGUAGCCGGUUUGGUAAAUUCUUGGGUAAAUCGUACCGCUCAACGGUGCGGAUUCCGGGGACACUACCAGACUUGAGACCGGGGGAGAUCAGAGGUACUUGCGGGGGAGCGGUGAAAUGUUGUAAUCCCGCAGGGACCACCAGUGGCGAAGGCGUCUGAUCAGAACGGCUCUGACGGUGAGGAACGAAACCCUGGGGCGCAAACGGGAUUAGAUACCCCGGUAG